ensembl:lncRNA
UUCACAACCUCAAAAUAGCAAAGACUGAAACAACAACAGAUUGCUGCAUUGACCAGCGCUUGUGAGCGAGAGGGUAUGAGAUAGCUCAGCUUUGGUUUAAAAGAGUUCAAAAAUAUUUGUUAUUGACCAUAACUUAUGGAGAAAAACAGAGCAGACAUUAGACAUGGAUGAAGCUUAGCUGGCUUUCACACUGGGCUCAUGUGCUGUGGUUCGAACCCGAGUGCGAUUGUUCCCGGCACCCCCCGCAGUGAUUAAGGUCUAUAAGGGAAUACACUGAGCUUUAAAAGGGAAGACACAAACAAUAUGGCAAAAAUGCUCGUGUUUCCUGAUUAAAAUGCUUGCAUUUAUGUCUACAAUGUGUUAAGAGAAAUAGCGUGCACACACACAUCCUGUAAGAUGAUAUGUACCACAUCCUGUGUCAACAAUAGGAAGUGCAUUGAUGUGGUUAGAAAAAAACAAGCAUAAUUGUAGAUUGAAGUGUCAAUGUGCAUGAGCACCUCACUUACUUCAUCUGUAAGAAGAGGACUUUUGUAGCUCUUUGGGGUGCUUCCUUUCAUCUGAGAAAGAACACACAGACAUUUUGAGGAACAGCAUGAAGAGGAAACCAGCACUUUAGACUGCAGUCUCAAGAUACAACUGACACCUGAGAUAUUUGAGACAGCAUACACAGAUGAAAGAUAGGAGUGUGUUUCAUGUGAUAUUGGAAUAUUCUACCAGGAGGUCCACACCCAAAAGUUAAAGACAGAUCUGAGGUCAGAACUCUCGUCAGGGCUUGAUAGCUGAAUCGACACAAGUGUCUUGUCCCACAGACAUUAUCCUGAGACAUACAAGAAAGAAAAUGUAUGCAGUUGUUACUCUGCAAGACUCAGAUGAGGUGGCGGUGGCACCAACAAACUGGCUGAGCCUAGACAAGAAACAAUGUUACUGGCCGCCAUUCAAAUCACCAGACAAGUGCAUGGAAGCUGUUCAGAACAGAAUUAAACCUGAAACAGGAGGGAAACCAUGGGAGAAACUAAACAUUAGCUUUCACAGAGAAUAUUUCACUUUUGAGAAGUCAAAAGAGGAGCAACAAGAAAUGAAAGAACGGAAAGAACGGUCAUAUCUAUUAUCCACUGGAUUCCCUGGAAUGCUAAAAAGACAAAGACUUGAAAGCACUCAAGAAAUGUUAAAACAACAACUUCCUCCUGCACCAUCUGCAUCUACAUCCAGAAUGUCAGCUGAUGACAAGGACGAGCUUCUCCAAAUGCUGAGAGACAUCAAGAGCAUGGUUCAGGAAAACUCUGCUAUGUUAAAGAAACUACUAAAAGACAAUACAGCUUCUGAAGUCCCAAGCAGUACUAGCAUUCCUCCUAAAGAUGUUAAAACAAACCUAAAACUGCCUCUUAGAACCAUUAAAGAUGUUGCCAGGACUGAAAGAGAGCUCAAAAAGAAUGCAACAACACGCCAAAUAUAUGUAAGAUAUCUGUCAAGACUUGGAGGUUUUGGGCAAAAGGAUGUGAUUAAGAAUAUUAUGCAGCAUCUCCUAACAGAUGAUCUGGCCACAAAGUUUAACUGGCAGGGGAGAGGAAUUAAAAAGCCCUUCUCUAAGCUUAUCUUAACUGAUGUUAUCAGAGAUGCUGCAUCAAAACAAAGUGUAAUGAGGAUAGACUGUGAAGCUGAAAUAAAAAAUUAUUUGUGGUCCAUAGCUGAUCGAAUCGGUCGGAAUAGACCAAGAGAUUGUGGAGGUAAGUGAUAAAUAUUAUGUAAUAUUGUCUCACUCUCUAUAGGCUGAUUUUCUCCAUGAUGGUUUAUUCAAAGCAUACUUCUUUGUCAAGGAACCUGCAUUCAUUUGUUUAAUGAUUAUUGUAUACUUUGUAUAAAUACCUCCUUCCCCCUUCAGGUCUGACUUCAGAUGUGACUUCUGCCUUGCUGCUGGACAGUAGCUUCCACUCAGUGACUGGAAUGCCUUUUGACUGAGUUUUGAAACAUUUAUUCAUAGGUCAUGUAAGCUUAACUGCCUACACAUUAGACAUUAAUUUUGUAAAGAACAAUAUGUGUACUAAUCUAAUCUAGCUUGCCACUGUGUACUUCAAAUAUGGGCUCUUGAGAUAAAAUGCUUAUAAUACUCAUAAUUUUUAAUUAAUGUAAAUGUAAAUAUAUAUAUGGUUAGGGUUAGGCAAGGGUUUUUAUAUUGUGGUAAUAUAAGAUGAGAUCCAUCAGCCUUUAGCUGACUAGAGGAAAAUAAUGAAAAACUGGAGAAUGUGUUUGACUGUGGUAUCACUGCAUGCAUAGACAGGUUUUCAGGUGUAUUAUAGCAGUGGCUUUAUUUCUCUGAUCCAAUAAUGUUCCUUUCCUCAAUAAAAAAUAACUCAAAUGCA